CCCCCGGGUUUAGAAUCCGGAGGCCGGGGUGGCCAGGCCCCCCACGUUUAGAAUCCGGAGGCCGGGGUGGCCAGGCCCCCGGGUUUAGAAUCCAGAGGCUGGGAUGGCCAGGCCCCCCGGUUUAGAAUCCGGAGGCCGGGGUGGCCAGGCCCCCGGGUUUAGAAUCCUGCUGAGGCCACGGAGAGGCUCAGGCCGUUUUUGCGUUUCCCAUCUCACCUGUGCUGGUUCCCGUCUCCAGGGAUGGUCCUGCCUCCUGUCCUUGGGCCCUCCCAGCUGCUUCCUUUGCUCCUGCGCUGAGGAAGGCUUUUGCCCCCCAGUGGGGCAGCAUGGGCCCUCCCUGUUGCCGGCAUCGUUAUUUUCUCCCAGCUCCUGAUGGGUCCCUUGGGUUGUGCUUCGGGGCGGGGCAGGCGGGUGUGACUGCACUGCGCCCGUCCAGCCUCCCACCCGCACCUCCUGCCCUUCCCGAGCCCCCUCCUCUGUCAUUUCUCCCCCUGGAGUUCCUCACGCACAGGGCUUUGUCCUAAGUGGUCGCCACACGCCGUUUUAAGAGAAACCUGAGCGUUGGGGUGAGCGUCGGACCUGGGGGAGGGGGGCCGGGCAGGGGCCGAGUCCAGGCACGUGGGUGGCGCCCUCACCCACCCUGUCCCCCCAGGAAGCAGGUCCUGGGGACCAAGGUGGACGCGGAGCGUGACGGCGUGAAGGUGCCCACCACGCUGGCCGAGUACUGCGUGAAGACCAAGGCGCCGGCGCCCGACGAGGGCUCAGACCUCUUCUACGACGACUACUACGAGGACGGCGAGGUGGAGGAGGAGGCCGACAGCUGCUUCGGGGACGAUGAGGAUGACUCUGGCACGGAGGAGUCCUGACACCACCAGAAUAAACUUGCCGAGUUUACCUCACUAGGGCCGGACCCGUGGCUCCUUAGACGACAGACUACCUCACGGAGGUUUUGUGCUGGUCCCCGUCUCCUCUGGU
rnacentral:lncRNA from 10 species